rnacentral:rRNA from 1 species
UACAGAGGUCUCAAGCGUUGUUCGGAUUCAUUGGGCGUAAAGGGUGCGUAGGUGGCGGGGGUAAGUCAGGUGUGAAAUUUCGGAGCUUAACUCCGAAACUGCAUUUGAUACUGCCUUGCUUGAGGACUGGAGAGGAGACUGGAAUUCACGGUGUAGCAGUGAAAUGCGUAGAGAUCGUGAGGAAGACCAGUGGCGAAGGCGGGGUCUCUGGACAGUUUCCUGACACUGAGGCACGAAGGCCAGGGGAGCAAACGGGG